GAGUUUGAUCUUGGCUCAGAUUGAACGCUGGCGGCAGGCCUAACACAUGCAAGUCGAGCGGUAGAGAGAAGCUUGCUUCUCUUGAGAGCGGCGGACGGGUGAGUAAUGCCUAGGAAUCUGCCUGGUAGUGGGGGAUAACGCUCGGAAACGGACGCUAAUACCGCAUACGUCCUACGGGAGAAAGCAGGGGACCUUCGGGCCUUGCGCUAUCAGAUGAGCCUAGGUCGGAUUAGCUAGUUGGUGAGGUAAUGGCUCACCAAGGCGACGAUCCGUAACUGGUCUGAGAGGAUGAUCAGUCACACUGGAACUGAGACACGGUCCAGACUCCUACGGGAGGCAGCAGGUGGGGAAUAGUUGGACAA
rnacentral:rRNA from 1 species